rnacentral:rRNA from 1 species
GACGAACGCUGGCGGCGUGCUUAACACAUGCAAGUCGAACGGCAAGGCCCUGCUUUUGUGGGGUGCUCGAGUGGCGAACGGGUGAGUAACACGUGAGUAACCUGCCCUUGACUUUGGGAUAACUUCAGGAAACUGGGGCUAAUACCGGAUAGGAGCUCCUGCUGCAUGGUGGGGGUUGGAAAGUUUCGGCGGUUGGGGAUGGACUCGCGGCUUAUCAGCUUGUUGGUGGGGUAGUGGCUUACCAAGGCUUUGACGGGUAGCCGGCCUGAGAGGGUGACCGGCCACAUUGCUACUGAGAUACGGCCCAGACUCCAACGGUAGGCAGCAGUGGGGAGUAUUGCGCAAUGGGCGGAAGCCUGUUGCAGCAGCGCCGCGUGCGGGAUGACGGCUUACGAGUUAUAAACCGCUUUCGCCUGUGACGAAGCGUGAGUGACGGUAAUGGGUAAAGAAGCACCGGCUAACUACGUG